CCAAAGAUAUCCAACCCACACCCUUAUAUCCCCCGACCCGAUUUUUUCUUCCUCUCGUAGAUUUGAUUCAGGAACAGACGUUCCCUAGAAGCUUAAAGCCCAGUGUGUCAUAGCGCAGCAUAUCCCUGAAUCGUCCGAUCCCAAACAUGCGCCUCACGAUAUACACGAAGUGGGAGGAGAUUUAACACACCAGAUGACUUUGUCGUCUCCUUUCAAUGUUCUCAUCUUUGUACGAUGGCACCUGUCGCAGCAGGAUUUUCAGACGUGAAUCGUCCUUGCCAUUGCAAGAUGGAGCCACGUCAAGGCGAGGGCAUUUGGGAUUGAUCCAAAUCGUCUAUCUCUUUUCCUUUUCUAACUUGUUGUCCAAAUUUCAGAAAAGGUGUUGAUUCAUUUUGGUUCUAAGUUUUUGGUUUUCAAAUUUCAAAUGGGAUAAGGGACUGAUUCGGUAACUUCACCUUUGUGAAACCCUAAUUCUUCCCCCCAAAUAUACUAUCCUUUCAUUGUGAAUCAAGGGGAUUUUUUUAGCCGAAAUCUUUUCUUUUGUUUUGGAAAGAGUUUACAGAGAGAUAGCUCACAAAAAGGAGAAAAGAAUCGUAGUAAGAGUCUUAUUUUUGUUUUUUAUUUUGAGAUUAUAGUUGGAAGUUUUAGGCAAGAAGCAGAGAAAAAAAAGGGGCUCGAGAGUUGAAAACUUUUACCUUGGGUUGGAAAAAUUUGAUCUUCUUGUGGAUUUUGUUUUUGCCUUUCGCUCGCUGUCCCAGUUCGCUGCACACGAAAAGGUCUCGAGUUGGAAGAAUUCAAAAAUCAAGAAGUCGGAGAUUUGAAGAAGUUGGAUCAAAGGAGGCCCAUUUUACCUAUUCAUUCUUUAUUGUAUUUUGUUAUUUUUCGGGCCUAAGCCCUUGUCGUCUUCUAUUUUAUGUUAUUAUUGUAUGUUUAGUCUAGGACAUGUACAACGAAAGUGGGCCUUUAAUGAAAAUGGGCCCCAAACACCAAUCCAGGCGGACAGAAACCGGAUUUGGAUCCAACCCAA